UCCACAGACAGCCCCCCUGAAUGUUGUUAGGCAGCGACCACAUGGGUACAAAUAAACUUUUGUCAGUGUAGCCCUGUUGGUUUACAGCAACUUCCAGUUUUUGGCUUUUCUUCUCAAACCUUCAAUUAAACACAAGAAAUCUAUACCUCAAAUAAAAAGUUCUCCACCCACCCGUUUGCUGCCGGUACAGAUGAUGAGCACUUACAUGCGAAGGGACGCCCUCACGGCACCGCCAGCACUCCGGGACGGCUCAUCCCGACCCUCCUGGCAGUCAGAGCAGGUCAUUCCCCGUUUCCCCGAGCCCUGAGGGGUGGCACAGGACUCGCGGCUGCCUGGUCACAACGGGGCGGUGAAGGCCCAAGGACGGAGCGGCCACUUUGA
rnacentral:lncRNA from 1 species